GGGCGACGCUCAGGGCGGCUGUGUGAGCAUCCGUGUCAGGUGGGCUGCUGGAUGCUGGGGGGUCACUGACUCACCCCUAGGGCUGAGGGCGGGUGGGUUACUGGCCUCCACAUGGGUGUGACAACCUGGCAGUGAGGGAUGGUCAUGCAGACAUGUGUUGGGCAUGGAGCAUCCGUGGUGGUGGAAGCCCUCCCAUGCCGGGCCGCGGGGCAGGGCUCUGGGAGAGGACGCAGGAUCCCUCCCUGCAUGUCUGUCUGCAGAUCAGCUUCACCUGCCCCCACCCUGGCAGUUCAAUCUACUGUCAUUAGACCCACCUGCCCUCACCCUGGCCUGCACCCUUCAAUCUACUGUUAUUAGACCCACGGGGUUUCUUGGUGAUUAAACGUGUGUGUUGCUCUCUGCACAUCCAAGAACUGCAGAAAGAGGUUUUUCUCAUUCCUGUGAUAGAUGAAAGUGCAAUUUUUAAAAACAGUGAAACUAUUCCUGCACAAGAGAACUGUGACUGGAUUCUGCCAGGGAGGAGCUGUGACCAGCAGGGCAGAGACAUGGGAGGGAAGAGCCGGCGUCACCUCCAGGCCUCCUGCGCCCGAGAGGAGGGAAGAGCCGGUGUCACCUCCAGGCCUCCUGCACCCGAGGGGAGGAAGAGCCGGCGUCACUGGCCACAGAUGAUGGGGAAGCCGGGCAUCACGGAGAGCUGAGAAGACUCGCUUGUUCACACUUACUCGAAAGCAGAAGAGGCCUGGGAACUUCAGCUGGCGACUCUGGUGUUUCUGACUUUGGCUAUCAGCAAACACUGCUGGAGGCUCUGCCCCGUCCACACCCAGCUUCUGUGAGCACGGAGGAGGCAUAAUCUGCAAAGUCUGACACAGGCCAUGCCUAACCAUCCUUGACUGGCUACCUCCAGUGACAUAAAACUGAGAAGCAAAGACACCCAGGAGGCAAGGCUGCAGUCAUUUAGGAGAGUGGACGGAUGCCAGGGCUGUGCUGCCUGCAGCCUUUGUGGGGCUCAGUGACCAGAGGAGCAGCCCAUGCCAAGCCUAGUCCCCAGGGAUGCUGCCUGCGGUGCUCACGCAUCUUAUACAGGGACACAGAGGAACUCUGGGCUCCACCCUGCAGCCUCUGCUCCAGCACGCGGUGGUCCCAGGAGAUGUAGAACCAGCCCUUCCUCUGCAGUUGCACUGGGUAAGUGAUGCUGUGGGCUGUUAUCCAUCAGAAAUACACCGCCCACUGCUCCACCAGUCAAAGUUACGCCUACUCUGGAAUUUGCUCUCUUAGCCAUUUGCUUGGUUUAGGAAAAGCCUAAGCUUCUGCCCCCCCGAUUCACCACAGAAGCCCUCUAUUAUCACUCCUGUUACGUGUAAAGGCUGAGUUAUUGCUAACUCUCAACAGGUCCUAGAAUCCUUUAUGUGCAUUCGGGGGACUGGGGGAGGCCCUGGACACUGUGCCAGGUGCUGUGUCUCAAGGUUCACUGGACCUGACAGGGAGAUUGGGAACAAAGGCCCUGAGAGAUGUGGGGAGCAGCCUUUGUGUCUGAGCUGUCACUCAGCUCUUUGCUUUAUGCCACUGGCGUACCUGCUGGAGGAACUCCAUGUGGAGGAAGGCUGGGCCCUGUGGGGGGCAUUCGAGGGGGACACUCUGGCCAGCCUCAGGCUGGGUCCACCUAGGGGGAGGAGGGGACAAGCCACCUCAUGGAUGUUGUACACAGUGGCCCAAAAGUGACCUUAAAAAUGGAUUUAAGGAAUAAAUCCAAAUCCAAAUAUAAGACAUAAGCCAUCUGAAGAAACAGCCUUGGUGAUUGUCUUUGAACCUCCAGACUGUGGGGUGACUUGCCUCAUACAGGCUGAUAUGGAAGUGCUUAUCUCAGUAACUUCACUGUGCUCUGUCUGAAGAGAAGAUGUUUCGCGGCUGAGUGGCCCGCAUUGCAUCUUAUAAAAGCGGAGCCCAGGGAGACCGAAUCUGGCUCGUGUCUCUAGCAUUGCUUGAGAGUGGGGACAUUUUGGCCCCAGACACAGGAUUCUGACCUGUGUGGGAGGCACGUCCCUGUGUUGGAGGUGGGUGCCCCCAGCUUCUACAUAUUAAUGAUGUCCCUGUUAGGGUUACUUUGCCCAUCCCC
ensembl:lncRNA novel transcript